GAUGAACGCUGGCGGCGUGCUUAACACAUGCGAGUCGAACGGUGAAGGCGGAGCUUGCUCUGCUGGAUCAGUGGCGAACGGGUGAGUAACACGUGAGCAAUCUGCCCCUGACCCUGGGAUAAGCGCUGGAAACGGCGUCUAAUACUGGAUACGAGCUGCGGAGGCAUCUUCAGCAGCUGGAAAGAACUUCGGUCAGGGAUGAGCUCGCGGCCUAUCAGCUUGUUGGUGAGGUAACGGCUCACCAAGGCGUCGACGGGUAGCCGGCCUGCUAGGGUGACCUGCCACACUGGGACUGAGACACGGCCCAGACUCGUACGGGAGGCAGCAGUGGGGAAUAGUGCACAAUGGGCGAAAGCCUGAUGCAGCAACGCCGCGUGAGGGACGACGGCCUUCGGGUUGUAAACCUCUUUUAGCAGGGAAGAAGCGAAAGUGACGGUACCGGCAGAAAAAGCUCCGGCUAACUACGUG
rnacentral:rRNA from 1 species